UGGCGGCGUGCCUAAUACAUGCAAGUCGAGCGCGGGAAGCGGACAAUCACCGUUCGGGGUGUGCGUCCGUGGAACGAGCGGCGGAUGGGUGAGUAUCACGUGGGCAACCUGCCUGUAAGAUUGGGAUAACUCGCGGAAACGUGAGCUAAUACCGAAUGAAGUCUUUCACCGCCUGGUGAAAGGAUGAAAGAUGGCUCUUGAGCUAUCACUUACAGAUGGGCCCGCGGCGCAUUAGCUAGUUGGCGGGGUAAAGGCCUACCAAGGCGACGAUGCGUAGCCGACCUGAGAGGGUGAUCGGCCACACUGGGACUGAGACACGGCCCAGACUCCUACGGGAGGCAGCAGUAGGGAAUCUUCCGCAAUGGACGAAAGUCUGACGGAGCAACGCCGCGUGAAGUGAUGAAGGUCUUCGGAUCGUAAAACUCUGUUGUCAGGGAAGAACAAGUUGUGUUCUAACAGGACAUGACCUUGACGGUACCUGACCAGAAACGCCCCGGCUAACUACGUGCCAGCCGCCGC
rnacentral:rRNA from 1 species